UUGAUAUCCCCAAUGCUAGAACUCUGAGUCCCAGGCAAGUGUCCAAAACAUCAUAUUCAGAUUUUCAGAGAAGACGCAGCAGCACGAGGAAAGGAAACACUUAUUUGACAGUUUCUGCUGCUGCAACACUGCCCCGCGCCAUGCCACUCAACAAGACCCCGGAACACAAUGUCACCUCACAAGCACCAGAUGACAAAGAAGCAUCUCUGGCCCACCCCCGCUGUCUAAAUGUCCCCUAAGAGCGGAUGAUGAAGAGGACUUGAUUCCAACUUGGAACUCAGGCUGUAAGGGAAUCUAGGAAAAACGGGCUUUGAGGUUUCUAAUUUCUCCAAAGAAAAAGGGGUAAGCAGUGUGCAAGAAAUGGGGAUUUGUGUGCCUAUCAUCAAGGCUCCUGUGUCCCCAUGGCUUGGGAAAUGCUCAUGGCUUUGAUGGUGGAGUCCGGUUUCAUUACAAUGCACUGCUUCUGGA